CACGCGGGUUCAAUGUAUAACGAAUUUUAUUUAGUAUAACCUUUCAUUUAGUAUAACAUUUCAUUUAGUAUGUAUGCCCCUAUCUAAUCCCCCAAUCAUUAUUUAAUUAAUAAUUUUAAAAAAGUUGUUUAUUAAUUUCCAUUCUUCACUGGUUAUCGUGUUUUUCGUAAGUGAUCUAAAAAAAUAAAAAAUACGAUUAAUUUUAAAAAAUAUUUACACGUUUGAGCAACUUUGGUGACAUACUUUGCGUACUAAUAAUUUAACAAUUAUUCGCCGAAGGCGAGGUGAUUAUCGGGGAGUAUUCGCCGAGACAAAGUCGAGGUGAAUAUUCCCCAAUAAUCACCGAGCCUGAAGCGAAUAAUUGUUUAGUAUUUUUGUGUUUUUUGGGACUGAAUUUGUUUUAAUUUCGCUUAUUUCUUUAUCAGUAUAACGUCCACAAAAUGGCUAGCAGCCAUUUUGAAAAUUUCGGUUCCGUUAUAUGUUCACCUGAAGGUGAAUAUAACACCUCAUACGUCAAAUUUGACCAAUCAACUUGUAGAAUUUGUUAUGUUUACUUGUGCAAAAAUACUAAUUAUUAUUAUCAAUGCAUACUUCUACCGUACAAAUAUCUAAACUUGCAUAUAUAUUACGAAAAUCACGAAACUGUCAACAUCGCCGCUAGGAAUUUCAAAUGGGAAUUCAUCAUUUUGGUCACAUGACUUCAUGUUUUUGUUAUCAAUUUAUUUUUGUCAUCAGUCAAAUAGGUUACUAAUUUUAUUAUCCAAUCAGGUGCGUAGCUUUGAAUUAAACGUCAGAAAUUCGUUAUUCAACAGUUAAUUUAUUCAAACGUAAACAAGGUCACAAACAUCCGAACUAAGGUCAAUGCAACAAAAUAUGGGAAAUAUUUGUUUAAUUGCAAACGUUUUAUGUUCAUUUUAGAGCUCCAUAAAUACUUAUGAUCUCUCUUUUAACGAAAAUAUGAUCUUCUAAUAUGCUGACCGCUUUUACGCGGGGCGGGGUUGCUUGAAAACAGCUGACUGGGAAUAAUUAGCACUGUCACAUCGUAAAGUCAUGUGACCAAAAUGAUGAAACAAUUUGAUGAUCUCAAUCUUGAUGAUCUCAAUUUUGAUGAUCUCAAUCUUGUAUUAAUAUACUGUCCGCUUUUACGCGGGGCGGGGUUAGUUAAAAAACCCAGUUGUUUCCCAGUUGACUGGGAAAAAUUAGCACUGUCAAAUCGUAAAGUCAUGUGACCAAAAUAAUGAAACAAUUUAAUCACAUGAUUGAACGAAAAGUGAAAAAAAAAUAAUAAAAAAAUAAAAUAAAAAAAAAACACAAAAAAAACGAAAAUUGAAUUUGGACGUCUUUUCCCGUUUGAAAUUCUUAACGGAGAUGUUGACAGUUAUUUAGGAUAUUGAUAAUGAUUUUCGUAAUAUAAUUCCUUGUUGCGCCGUUGAUAUGCGAAGAAAGAUGUUUUUGGAUUACUUGAAAUUUUAAUAUCGCAAUCGGUAAAUAAAGUCUUAUAAUUCUGUAUACACGAGACAUAAAAUUAUGGUAUAGGUAGCUAUAAGCUAAUUUAUUUUCAAAAUUCAAGGCCUCUGAAAUCAUCGUAAUCACGUUUUCAUAUUUUUUCUUGCCUUUACACGGAACCAUGAGACCGGAUGGAUUUGAGUAUAGCGCAGGUAACCGCAUAUGAGUACCUCAGUGAACAAAUGGAACCACGUGAUUUUCAUGCGGUUUGCAUGCAAAAUUGUACAGUUUGCAUACGAAUUAGGGUACGCCACCUGAAGUUCUUGAAAAAUCUGAAGUUCUCGUGACAGUAUAAUACAUCUUAUAAUACAUACGGAAAGUAACGAUUGUCAUGUAAUUACAACGAAACCGAGGUGGCAAAGUUUAUAAAUUACUGUAGAACCCAACAAGCAAAUAGUGUAAC